GACGAACGCUGGCGGCGUGCUUAACACAUGCAAGUCGAGCGGUAAGGCCCUUUCGGGGGUACACGAGCGGCGAACGGGUGAGUAACACGUGGGUGGCCUGCCCUUAGCUCUGGGAUAAGCCUGGGAAACUGGGUCUAAUACCGGAUAUGACUCCAUGACGCAUGUUGUGGGGUGGAAAGCCUUGUGCGGCUAGGGAUGGGCCCGCGGCCUAUCAGCUUGUUGGUGGGGUGAUGGCCUACCAAGGCGACGACGGGUAGCCGGCCUGAGAGGGCGACCGGCCACACUGGGACUGAGACACGGCCCAGACUCCUACGGGAGGCAGCAGUGGGGAAUCUUGCGCAAUGGCGAAAGCCUGACGCAGCGACGCCGCGUGAGGGAUGACGGCC
rnacentral:rRNA from 1 species